AUACCCCCUUCUAAGAAUUGCUUCUCUUUUUCUUUAUUUAUUUAUUUUCACCUUGAAUCCUUUACUCGAUUUCCCACUGCUGUACCAAUAUUCCUCUCCUCGUCCAAACAACUAGAUCUUUAUGGAAGUUACUACUGGGAAGCGAAUAUUACUAAGACAUUACAAAAAUGUGUGUACUAUUUUACGGUCGAAUUGGUCGACACAAAGAAAUGGUAAAACGCGACCGACCUACUAAUUAAUUCUAAAAAAAAUCAUCAAAUUAACAAUUGGUAUUUGUUUGAUCAUAACGAUGUAUAUGAAAUGUCAUAAAGUACUUGAGUGUAGAAACGCAUGCGUGCGACGAGUGACGAGCUCAACUAUAAGCAAUUGAUAUGGAGGCGAAACUUUCUGUAAGGAGAGAAAUCUAAUCCUUCUUCAUAGUAUGCAUCUCUUGGUCAGGCUCAAAAUGUUGAAUUUCAGGAUGAGCAGACAAAGCAUCUACUGCAUUCUCAGGAAGAGAAACGCUGAAUCCCUUAAAUACGGUAUCAUAAGUAUGACCAAUUUUAGCACCAGAUGCCUCUAAAUCAGAUUUUAUUUUAUCCAUCGAUGCAGGAUCAACAGAAUCUUUCAAUUGAACGAUAUACGACUUUUGACUCAUGGCGAAAUAACGAAGGCGAAAAAAACAAGGAAAGUAGCGUUUCAGAUUUUUUAGCUGUACUUAAAAUUCACUUAAUUGUCAAAAAAUGAACAAGCUUAUGUAGUACAGAUAAGAAGGAAUUGAGCGCAAAGGGGAAAAGGCUG